GUUACUGAAUGUACAACCUAGCUUGCUAGCUAGUAAGUUUUCUUGAUGGUGUACAAAGAGAAUGAACUGCCUUCCUUUGCCUCGAUUGGGUAGUUAAGGAGCUCCGUGGCGGGCUCACUCAUGAGGGUACAGUCCACUAACAAAUUGAGGGAAAUUAAAAUUCAAUGGCAAGCGAUUGAACCACGGGAAAUUAAGUAGAAGUGAAGAGGAUUUUACCCCCUUCUC
rnacentral:lncRNA from 1 species